AGCAGUAGCCGCGGUAAUACGUAGGGUGCAAGCGUUAAUCGGAAUUACUGGGCGUAAAGCGUGCGCAGGCGGUUAUAUAAGACAGAUGUGAAAUCCCCGGGCUCAACCUGGGAACUGCAUUUGUGACUGUAUAGCUAGAGUACGGCAGAGGGGGAUGGAAUUCCGCGUGUAGCAGUGAAAUGCGUAGAUAUGCGGAGGAACACCGAUGGCGAAGGCAAUCCCUUGGGCCUGUACUGACGCUCAUGCACGAAAGCGUGGGGAGCAAACAGGAUUAGAUACCCCCGUAGUCCCUGUCUCUUAUAC
rnacentral:rRNA from 1 species